rfam:Sulfitobacter sp. EhC04 A4_Contig35, whole genome shotgun sequence.
ACGAUUGAAAAUCCCGGCCCCUUGGCCUAUAUCUGGCUUGUUCUUCGGAACUAUGGACAUAAACGCGCUCGUAAUAAGCGGAUCGGACCCGGGGGCGGUACCCGGCGACUCCACCAACAUCCUUCAUUUGGGGAUCAUGGGGUCGAAACAGGAUCGACGAACGUCUAAAGGGGUUUUGCUUUGUCUCGGCUGACUGCCACCGUUAUCGGCGUAAAAAGUACAAUUGCAAAUGACAAUAGUGCUCCAGUAGCAAUGGCCGCGUAAGCGACCGGAGAGACUGAAAUCUAAGUCCUUGGGUUUAGCGACUUAAGGCGGGGUUCGCAGGCACCUGGCAACAGAAGCCUGCACU